ACCAAAAAACCAAAAAACCCCCCAAAACCCUUGACCCCAGUGUGUUUGUGGCAGUACUCCACUGACUAGGUCAUCUCUGACUUCACGGUCUUUGGUGGUAAACAGGCCCAUGUAUACUGUUCUUCUCAAAACACAAUGCCAAUCUGGAGAGCUUUGAAAAGAGGCAAAGUGAUGGCACCCCUACCUAGGAACAGAGUCAGAAAGAGGCUUCUGGAAAGGUUAGGGCACUCAAAGGAUGGGGACCUUAAUGGCCUGCCUCUAUCCCAGAGCUAUCCCCUCCUGCUCUUCUGUGCUCCUAUCUGCCCAUCACUGCUCAGUUUUCUGUGCCUCACCAGCUCGCUUUCAUCUCCCUUAGUUAUUGUUCUUCUUUCUUCUUUUCACUUAUCUUUUUUUAAUAGUAUGGGUGUUUUGCCUGCAUGUUUAUUUGUGCACCAUUUGUGUGUUUGGUUCACUAUGCAGGAAAGAAAAAGAUAUCAGGUGCCCUGGAACUGGAGUCAUACAUGACUGUGAGCCACUGUGUGGAUGCUGGGAAUUGAACCUGGGUUCUUCUGGAAGAGCAGCCUGUGCUCUUAACUGCUGAACCCCGCCCCUCCUCUCAUUUUCCUAGGGUGACCUCCAACUCACAACAUUGCCUUGGGUGUGCUGGGGUUACAGACCUGCAUCGCUGACCAGGUCCUUUUCUCUUGGUGAUUAUGGGUCUUAAGACCUUCCAGAUGACCCCUCCCUCAAGCUAGAGGCACAGGGUGGAGGCCCCUAGGGAUGCUUUCAGAUGCCACACAGUAUGGCAGUGGCAGACACUGCCUGGCACUGUCAGAAUGACUGUGAGGGCUCAGGAAGCGACCGGGUCCUGGCUUGAGAGUGGCUUUCUUCUAAGCUACUCUUUCAUUUCAGCAUUCGAGACCUUCAUUCCUACGUGUUGCUAAGAUGAUCUCACUCAGUAGUCCAAGAUGGCCUUGAACAUUCAUGGCUAUCCAGUUCCUUCAGCCUUCUGAGGGCUGGGAUUACAGGCAUCAUCCUACCCAGCUUUUGGCCCUGCCUCCAGCAUGGGGGGGUGGGUGAUUAGGGUGGGGUUCCCUAUUCAGACUGAUACUGCCACCAGAGAGUUCUCUGUGCUUCCAGCUAUCAGGAGAUCACGCCCACAGGAGGAACUGUUCCAACAGCUUCAACUAUUUGUUCCUCCCACAGUGGCCAUAGGAAACCACUUAAAGCUCAGCACAGUCCUGUCCUUCCAGGGAGGACCCAAGGCAGCAGGUAAAAAGGAAACCUCUGGGGUUUGGGCAGCAUGCAGAGGCUGGCUUGGCCCAGAGGGCGCCAUCUUUCACUGGAGCCUCUCUACUGCAGUGCAGUAGAGACUACCUUUCUUUGAGCUUCAGGCUUACGGAGACUUCAACUCCCCAGAAUGACUUGGGGAGUGGAUGAAAUCUUGGCCAUUAAAAAAAAAAAAGACAUUGCAAGCUCUUUGGCACAUCCGUGGUUUCUGCAUCCCCGUUGGUACCUAUGUAGAGCCCCAGUAUGGAGGAGUAGCGGGAAAGAUGGACUUUAGCCCUACCCUGGAACUGCUUAUAGCUCUCAUUUCCCAAUUAACACUGAGGUGGGACUGGAGGUGGGAGGAUUGAAAAUCAGGAGUGGAGGGCUGGAGAUGGAGCCCGAGAUUCAACCUACAGCACCUCAUAACGUGACACGGUGGCAGGGCUUUACUGUAUGUCUAGCCUUGGAAGGUAGAGGCUGGAAGAGCAGGAGGAGUUCACUGCCAUCCUCAGCUGGGUAGGGAGUUUGAGGCUAGCCUGGGCUACAUUAGAGUAUGCCUCAAAAACAAUUACGAGGAACAAAAUUGGGAGGUCUGGUUUGGGGGACAAGGAAGACUUUAACAGUGUGGUUUGCUGGGUGUCACCCAUGCGCCCUGAAUCCUGUCACAGCUAAAAAGGGGGAGAACCAUGGUGCUGACCUGCGUUGGUGGCAGUACUGUGCUAAUGGCGGUACUUAGAGGCCUCAGCUCCUUGCACACAGGAUGGGUUCUUAGGCUUCAUUUGCUCCCAUGGUAUGUAUCUGAGACUGGGGGACUCGGUGUACCUGUCUGAGCCCCGGGGGCUGGGAAUGUGACAGAACAUUUUUUUUGGGGGGAGGUGUUUUCUAUCUCAUAGACUCCCCAAAUUCCUGGGCUGGGUUGUGGCAGAGGAUGUUGGUAUAGAGUCGCUGUUAGAAGCCUUCCUCACAGCCAAAGCCAAUCCUCAGGCAAGUUUAUUUAACCUCUCGGAUCUCUUUCUGCCUUUGUGAACUGGUAAUGCCUACUUUACCCAGUGGUGGUGAGAUAAGACAGCGGGUAAAGUGCAAGGCCUGGUACAAAGUACACAUGGCAGCUAAAAAAGUAUUUCAGGCCCUCCCUCUCUUUUCCAUUCCUGUAAUUUUGCCUCCCUCCCCUUUCUUACUUUACUUUUCUCUACGGCCCAUCGCCAGCUAGUUCUUUACUGAUAUUUGUUCAUUUUCUGACUCACUUGAUUCCUGCGUUUGUUUUCAAGCCUGCUGGCCCCAGUGCCUGGCAUCCUAUAGCACCCACCAUUGCUGGAGGAACUGAUGAAGGCGGGCAAACUGACCUAUAGACAUCCUUCCAGAUACUUCCAAGUUGCAUUGCUCACUAGGGAUUGUUAUGAAAGAACUUGAGGGCCGAUGUACACACAGAGCACAGCACAGCACAGCACAGAUAGAGCUUGGGGAGUGGGCGGACUUCUCAGAGUUCACAGGUUUAAGUGCGAAGUGCCAGGUUGUGAAGUGACUGAAGAGCUAUUAUCCCGGGAAGAAGAAACCCUUCAGGCUUUUAAUACAGAUUUUAGAAGUUACAUUAUAUGUGUGUAUUGGUCUCCUUCCACCAAGUGGAUCUCUAGGAUUAAACUCAAGACUGUCAGACUUCGUGACAAGUACCUUGAGUCAUGUCACCUAGUUUUCUUCUUUAUUAUCUGUCUAAGGGCGAAGGUCAUGUUGAAUAACAACUGUACACUCACCUUAGAGGCAGUUGCCAGGAGGAACUAAUGUUUGAAGCUGUCCAUCCUACCCAUUGAUCAGGUUGCUGUCAGCACGGAGGAUUGUUUGGUCAAUGCUGCCAUCUGGUGGACAACUGGAGCAAGUCUGGCAGGAGGAACAAGUUCCCAGGAAGGAAGAGGCAGAGAGAAGGUCACUGCUGACGUCAAGGGCUUUCAGGUAGGAGGUAAACACAAGAUGACCCACUUUUAUUCCACUGUCUUUCACCUUCAUCUUCUGGCUGGAGUAGCCUUUUCUGGCAUCCCUGAUAACAGCACUCACUCCUUGAUAGUAUCCUCUGUCCCAGAUCCCAGUCCCUAUAAUCCCAAGUACUUAUGGGUACCCAAGCACUAUUCUGUGCUUCUCCCCUGGCCCCCCAGCCCCUGUAGGGUGUCUGUAUGUCUUGGAACUUGCUCUGUAGACUUGAACUCAGAAAUCUUCUUGUCUCUGCCGCUGAGUGCUGGGAUUAAAUGUGUUUGCUAGCAUACCUGGUUUACUCUUUGGUUCUUGACUCCAGCCAUUCUUCCUGCUCCUGCACAGGUGCACAGGUGUAUGGACUAGCCAGAGGGAGGCAGGAAGGGUUAAAGGGCACUGUGUGUUUAGUCUGUGCUCGCCUGGCUCACUCUUAAGGUUCAAAAAUUUCAUUUGUCUUUAGGACAAAUAUUGAUCUAAGGGGUAGGAAAGGCCAGUUUCUUCUCUUCAGACACAGGGACCUUUAGGAGAGGGUGGCUUUCUGCUCUUGCUGGGGUGACACCAGGACUCAAGGGCUCUCUGAAAGCGCAGGGUUUUGUUAGACUCGAGGGACCUGUGAUGGUUAGUUUUAAUUGUCAACUUGACACAGUCUAGAAUCUCUUGGGAAGAGAAAAGUCUAGAUCAUGUUGGCCUGUGGGUAUGUCAGUGGGGGAUUCUCUUGAUUGCAAUUACUUGAUGUGGAAGACUGACCCACUGUAGGUGGUUCCAUUCCCUGGCUUUGGGUCCUGGACUGUGGAGAAACUGAACUAAGUAAGCAUUAGAAGCAUGCAUGCACACAUUAUGUUCAUUUCUCUCUCUGAUCUUUAAUUUUUUGUUUUGUUUUUUGAGAUAGAAUUUCACUACACAGGCCUUGCUGGCCGGGAACUUGCUUUGUAGAUCAAACUAGCUUCCAAUUUUCAGAGAACUACCUGCCCCUGCCCUCCAGGUGCUAAGAUUAGAGGCAUGAGCCACCAAGCUCUGUUAUUAUUUUGUUCUUUU